UACGGGAUGGAGCAGUCGGUAAGCUCGCCGCCCUCAUAAGGCGGAGGUCGGGGGUUCAAGUCCCCCUCCCGUAA
rnacentral:tRNA from 1 species